rnacentral:snRNA from 19 species
AAACUUACCUUCCUCGGGCCUCUGCGAUCAAGAAGACAGAAAGCCUGCCCAGUCCACCCUGCAUUGCACGCUGCGGUCGGUGACGGGUAUGUAGCUACCUUCGGGGGCUAUACAUGGGGACAAUUUUUGAUGGCUACCACUCCGGUCUGCAGACCGGCUC